rnacentral:lncRNA from 13 species
CGAUCCACCGUCUCCUUGAACUCAGUUUAGAUUUAAAGUCGAGCAAAACGGACUCGCUCCGUUCUGUGUUCGUUACUUCCGCCAUAGUAUUAUUAUAUAUUCUCAAACGGCCGCAUUGUGCUGAGCUGUCCAAAUUAUUAUCAUGGAACCGGUUGACACUAAAAUUUGCACACAGAGACACGCAUUUAUGAAACGUCGUCUCACCAAUGGCUUAGCGUUACGGAACAUCUACAUCAUGUCAACAUGGUAAAAAUGACGGACAGAUUGCAACAUCCGGACAUACUCAAUACACAGGAAUCUAAUUUGUCUCCACUUGAAAUUAUGUAAAUAACUUAGGCUGAAGAAGGACAAGUAAGUCCGAAACGUCCCAUUGACUUUAUAACGGAAUAAAUAUUUUAUAUACGACA